ACCCAGAGAAUACUCUUUAGCCUGGCUCCAUGAGAGGAGAAAAGAGAUUAUGGAGUUUGUCCCUGAUUGUGGAAUGGCACCUUGCCCAAUGCCUGGCACUUCAUGAAUGGCUACACCUUAACCUCCCCCAUGGGGUGUCUCUCUAUUGUCCCAAGCACUGUGACUCUUCCCCUUAGAUGGAGUGCUUCAUUCAGCAAAACAAGAACCAGCGACAUAGAACUUUUCUAGCAUGUUCUUUGGGAAUCUUGGUAUAUACUGCUCCAAAGAAAAGCCCAAAUAAAACUGCUGAGAUGCCUGUGAUCCAGAGGCAUCCAAGGAACUAUAACUCAAAGCGUGUUUAAGGCAAAGGGCAGAAGGGUUUAAUAAAGAACAGAACUGUAGAACA
rnacentral:lncRNA from 1 species